GGAAUUUUGGACAAUGGGGGCAACCCUGAUCCAGCCAUGCCGCGUGCGGGAAGAAGGCCUUCGGGUUGUAAACCGCUUUUGUCAGGGAAGAAGCGCUCCAGGUUAAUACCCCGGAGUAAUGACGGUACCUGAAGAAUAAGCACCGGCUACCUACGUGCCAGCAGCCGCGGUAAUACGUAGGGUGCAAGCGUUAAUCGGAAUUACUGGGCGUAAAGCGUGCGCAGGCGGUCUUGCAAGACAGAUGUGAAAGCCCCGGGCUUAACCGGGGAACUGCAUUUGUGACUGCAAGGCUGGAGUGCGGCAGGGGGGGAUGGAAUUCCGCGUGUAGCAGUGAAAUGCGUAGAUAUGCGGAGGAACACCGAUGGCGAAGGCAAUCCCCUGGGCCUGCACUGACGCUCAUGCACGAAAGCGUGGGGAGCAA
rnacentral:rRNA from 1 species